GAACAGGGCGCCCGCUACACAACGCCCCAUUUUCCGCGAUACGGGACCACUGCCUCUCAUACCACUGAUGAUGACAUAAGAUGAAAUGUCGAAACGUUUGGCCCAUUAAAGAUGCUGCUCGUA